CAGUAGCCACGGUAAUACGAAGGUCCCGAGCGUUGUUCGGAAUUACUGGGCGUAAAGCGCACGCAGGCGGCUCGAUAAAUUAGAAGUGAAAGCCUUGGGCUUAACCUGAGAAUUGCUUUUAAGACUGUCGAGCUAGAAUCCAGAAGAGGGUAGUGGAAUUCCGAGUGUAGAGGUGAAAUUCGUAGAUAUUCGGAAGAACACCAGUGGCGAAGGCGACUACCUGGUCUGGCAUUGACGCUCAUGUGCGAAAGCGUGGGGAGCAAACAGGAUUAGAGACCCGCGUAGUCCCUGUCUCUUAUAC
rnacentral:rRNA from 1 species